GCGCUUCCCAUUGGGGAGUAGCCGCCCUGCCGCGCGACACCGCGUUGUGCGACAGGGGCGUACGUCAACAGACUUGACCGCUUGCGGUUAUGGCGUGCGCAGCUUCGGAACGGUGCAAUGCCUGUUCCAGGGCCUGGCGAGACCGAUGACGUCGUUUUUCGGCUGGGCCGGGGAAAACGCA
rnacentral:sRNA from 2 species